CUCGUAGGCGGUUCGUCGCGUCCGGUGUGAAAGUCCAUCGCCUAACGGUGGAUCUGCGCCGGGUACGGGCGGGCUGGAGUGCGGUAGGGGAGACUGGAAUUCCCGGUGUAACGGUGGAAUGUGUAGAUAUCGGGAAGAACACCAAUGGCGAAGGCAGGUCUCUGGGCCGUUACUGACGCUGAGGAGCGAAAGCGUGGGUAGCAAACA
rnacentral:rRNA from 1 species